GCUGCGGCCACAGCCAUGAGUAUGCUCCAGCUUCAGAAGAGGCUUGCCUCUAUAGUGUCCUCCGCUGUGGCAAAAAGAAGGUCUGGUUGGACCCCAAUGAGACCAAUGAAAUUGCCAAUGCCAAUUCACGUCGGCAGAUCCGGAAGUUGAUCAAAGAUGGGCUGAUCAUCCGGAAGCCUGUGACUGUCCAUUCCAGGGCUUGAUGCCGGAAAAACACCUUGGCUCGCCGGAAGGGCAGGCAUAUGGGCAUAGGUAAGCGGAAGGGUACUACCAAUGCUAGAAUGCCUGAGAAGGUGACUUGGAUGAGAAGGAUGCGGAUUCUGCGAAGGCUUCUCAGGAGAUACCGUGAAUCGAAGAUUGACCGCCACAUGUACCAUAGCCUGUACCUGAAGGUGAAGGGGAAUGUGUUCAAAAACAAGCGGAUUCUCAUGGAACACAUCCACAAACUGAAGGCAGACAAGACCAGCAAGAAGCUCCUGGCUGACCAGGCUAAGGCUCGCAGGUCUAAGACCAAAGAAGCAUGCAAUUGCUGUGAGGAGCACCUCCAGGCCAAGAAAGAGAUCAUUAAGACUCUGCUCUGUCCAAGGAGGAAGAAGCUAUGAAAUGA